AACGAACGCUGGCGGCGCGCUUUACACAUGCAAGUCGCACGAGAAAGGGCUUCGGCCCGAGUAAAGUGGCGGACGGGUGAGUAAUGCAUGGAUAACCUGCCAUCGAGUGGGGGAUAACCCCGGGCAACCGGGGCUAAUACCGCAUGCCAAGUCGCGAGCUUCGGCUUGCGCCUUCAAAGCUGGCCUCUGCUUGCACGCUGGCGCUUCAAGAUGGGUCCAUGUCCCAUUAGCUAGUUGGUGUGGUAACGGCUCACCAAGGCGACGAUGGGUAGCCGACCUGAGAGGGUGAUCGGCCACACUGGGACUGAGACACGGCCCAGACUCCUACGGGAGGCAGCAGUGGGGAAUUUUGCGCAAUGGGGGAAACCCUGACGCAGCGACGCCGCGUGGAGGAUGAAGGCCCUUGGGUCGUAAACUCCUGUCAGGUGGGAAGAAAAGCCUUCGGUAAACAGCCGAGGGUCUUGACUGUACCACCGGAGGAAGCCCCGGCUAACUCCGUGCCAGCCGCCGCCGUAAAAC
rnacentral:rRNA from 1 species